rnacentral:rRNA from 1 species
UACGAAGGGGGCUAGCGUUGCUCGGAAUCACUGGGCGUAAAGCGCACGUAGGCGGAUCUUUAAGUCAGGGGUGAAAUCCCAAGGCUCAACCUUGGAACUGCCUUUGAUACUGGGGAUCUCGAGUCCGGAAGAGGUGAGUGGAACUGCGAGUGUAGAGGUGAAAUUCGUAGAUAUUCGCAAGAACACCAGUGGCGAAGGCGGCUCACUGGUCCGGUACUGACGCUGAUACGCGAAAGCGUGGGGAGCAAACAGG